rnacentral:rRNA from 1 species
UAGGGAAUCUUCGGCAAUGGACGAAAGUCUGACCGAGCAACGCCGCGUGAGUGAAGAAGGUUUUCGGAUCGUAAAACUCUGUUGGUAGAGAAGAACGUUGGUGAGAGUGGAAAGCUCAUCAAGUGACGGUAACUACCCAGGAAAGGGACGGCUAACUACGUGCCAC